rnacentral:misc_RNA from 1 species
UUUUUUUUUUUUUUUUUCAAGAUACAAUUUUUUAGCAUUGGACAACAAUCACCAAAAUAAGAAAAGUAAAAUACCAAUCAUACCCUCAGAAUAUUACUAUAGAUGUGUAAGAACUAACAAGUAGCAAUUUGGAAUUCUCUAGAGGUUUACUUCCCUUGUCCUAAGUACUGCCAAACCUUACAUAUUUGGUAGCCUUUUCUAUCUUGUGCUGCGGGUCAUAAAAUCUCUUCUUUGCAUUUUGAAUUAUUAUUUAAGUGUUAAAUGUUUUUUUGUGAUUGUAAAUUGAUCUAUUUCCCCAUUCUGAUUCACAGCACCAUGCAAAGAACAAGAAAU